rnacentral:lncRNA from 1 species
AUGACAGCCUUGCCUCUGCCCCCUGCAUCAGGUUUGUACUGUGCAACUGCAGAGCUGGCAGCCCCGUCGGGUCCCUGCGAGGCUGGCUUCUACUGCACGGGGGGCUCCACGCUCCCAAACCCCAUGGAUGGAGCAGUGGGAGACAUUUGUCCUCGAGGCCACUUCUGUCCUGCAGGGAGUUCUUCUCCAUCUCCGUGUCCCCCAGGCUCCUUUUUGGCUCAUCGUGGUGGCCAGUCAGCACAGGAUUGCCAGUCCUGCAUCCCAGGGUGGUUCUGCUCUCAGCAUGGUCAGAAGUCCUCGGAGGGCUUGUGUAAAGAAGGAUGGUUUUGUCCAGAGGGCUCUGUGUCAGGCCAGCAUUCAGACUGUUUGUGUCCUGUGGGUCACUAUUGCCCCACUGGCAGCCCAG